ACACCCACAGUCAGGUUCAGUCACCAGCUCCAUCCGCAUGCACUUCUGAUAAACACUCAGGAAUGAUGGUUUCAAGUGGCUGGAGAAGAACACAAAGUAGAUCUAUUUUUAUCCCUCCACGAUUCUCAGACAGGAAGUUACCGAUGGCUUGCGCAGGUCAGUCACCUGUGAAGACCAGCAUCAUUUACCACUGAACCAGCGCGGAGAAAUGCGCUCCCUGGGCCGCAGGGAUGAGCCGGCCCCACGCCACUACGCUGCCAUGGGUGGAACCAGGACACCAGUGGACACAGGAGCUGGGUCCGAACUCAUGGCUGCGGAUGGAGAGGGCUUCCUGGUCCUGGCAGCUCGCAUCUGUACCCAGAUACUCAUGCGAGGGUUUGGGCUUUGGCAGCUGUGAAAGGGUCACUCCUCCCCCCCUCCCCAGGCCACAGCCCUCCCAGAUCUCCUGAGCGGCAGCGUGGACCAUCUUCUCCACCUCUGCAGCUGAGUGGGGCACCACCAUGGCCGGCUGUUCAGGUAGUUUGGGAGGUAGAGGAAGAGGAAGCUCGGGUCUAGGUGGAGACUUGACCUGCCCUUCUCCCCCCGGUGAGGAGACAAGCCCCCCCAUAGGAGUGGAUGAGCCAGACCUCCCCAGGCCUCCUAGCCUGAGCUCUUCUUCUUCCUCUAUUUGCCUCUGUUUAAGUCUCUGCUGUUCCCUGCGGGAGCUGAGGCCAUAGUCCUCAUCAAACCAGUCGUCAUCGUCACCGAGGUCUUCCAGCAGCUCACGGCUCAGUUCCAGCUCUGCUAGUCGCUUGGCAAGCUCCUCUUGACCGCUGGCCCCCAACACUGGACUCUCCUGAGAAGGAAAAAAGAAAAAAACAAUUUGAUGGGCAAAAAAUUUAGAAAAUAUAAAUUUCAAUUAAUUUGAAUUUUUAACUGCAUCAUAACAUAUAAAUCAUGGUUUUAGACUUUGGAUCUAGUCUUUAAGAGUUUUACUUGUUACUGAUGUUUCAGACACAAAAGGUUUUCAGCAAAGAGCAAAAGACUGUUAACAGACACAGUUGGACUUUGGCUGCGCACAUUCCAAAAACAUGAGGGUUCUCCAGGUCAAAUAAAUAACCACUGUUUGCUAGUAACUUGAUUAUCAAAACACCACAGUUCAAUCACAUUAAAGACCAGCACUAUCUCGCUUUAACAUUUUAGAUUGAAAUGACGAAACACAACGAAACAAAACACUGAAGAAGUCAAAGUGGAAAUUCAGCCUGUAAUCGUUAUUUAGACUGCAGAUAUUUGGUGUUUUAUUAUAAAUUCAGGGUAAGGGGUGCUUCUCCCUUUUUUCUUAUUUACCUGUUCAGUUUAAAGUAGGGCUCUGAUAUUUCCUGUUUAAACUCAUAUUUUGCUUUGAGUUCAAGUAUGAAUAAAAGUCACAAAAUGACCUCAAGUGUCACAGUAAGGAACCUGA